AGAGUUUGAUCAUGGCUCAGAACGAACGCUGGCGGCGUGCCUAACACAUGCAAGUCGAACGUGAUUCAUCCUUCGGGGUGAUGAAAGUGGCGCACGGGUGAGUAAUGCGUAGAUAAUCUGCCUGGUGAUCUGGGAUAACAUCUCGAAAGGGGUGCUAAUACCGGAUAAGCCCACGGAGUCCUCGGGCUCUGCGGGAAAAGGGGGGGACCUUCGGGCCUUCUGUCACCAGAUGAGUCUACGUACCAUUAGCUAGUUGGUGGGGUAAAGGCCUACCAAGGCGACGAUGGUUAGCUGGUCUGAGAGGAUGAUCAGCCACACUGGAACUGAGACACGGUCCAGACUCCUACGGGAGGCAGCAGUGGGGAAUUUUGCGCAAUGGGGGAAACCCUGACGCAGCAACGCCGCGUGAGUGAUGAAGGCCUUCGGGUCGUAAAGCUCUGUCAGAGGGAAAGAAAUGUCGGGUGGCUAAUAUCCACUUGACUUGACGGUACCCUCAAAGGAAGCACCGGCUAACUCCGUGCCAGCAGCCGCGGUAAUACGGAGGGUGCGAGCGUUGUUCGGAAUUAUUGGGCGUAAAGCGCGUGUAGGCGGUUUGUUAAGUCUGAUGUGAAAGCCCCGGGCUCAACCUGGGAAGUGCAUUGGAUACUGGCAGACUUGAAUACGGGAGAGGGCAGUGGAAUUCCUAGUGUAGGAGUGAAAUCCGUAGAUAUUAGGAGGAACACCGGUGGCGAAGGCGGCUGCCUGGACCGAUAUUGACGCUGAGACGCGAAAGCGUGGGGAGCAAACAGGAUUAGAUACCCUAGUAGUCC
rnacentral:rRNA from 1 species